rnacentral:rRNA from 1 species
GAUGAACGCUGGCGGCGUGCCUAACACAUGCAAGUCGAACGGUGAAGCAGAGCUUGCUCUGUGGUUCAGUGGCGGACGGGUGAGUAACACGUGAGCAACCUGCCCCUGACUCUGGGAUAAGCGCUGGAAACGGCGUCUAUAACUGGAUAUGAGCUGCGACCGCAUGGUGAGCUGUUGGGAACAUUAUUCGGUCUGGGAUGGUCUGACGGCUUAUCAGCUUGUUGGUGGGGUAAUGGCUCACCAAGGCGUAGGCGGGUAGCCGGCCUGGGAUGGUGAACGGGCACAAUGGUACUAAGGCACGGACCAGUCUGGAACGGGGGGCAACGGGGGGGAAUAUUGCACAGUGGGCGCGAGCGUGAGGAGAAGGCCCCGCGUGUGGGAAGACGGCCUUCGGGUUGUGAACCGCAGUUAGCUGGGAAGAAGCGGAAGUGACGGUACCUGCAGAAAAAGCGCCGGCUAACUACGUG